GAAGCCAAGGCCGCCGCAUGAACCAGUAACCGCCACGCUCCCCGCUCACAACCGCCGCUCCACCUGCUAUCGACGUCGGCUGACUAGUUGCAGUAACCGUUCAGAUUUGCUGUCUGUUCGCGACGGUUUCCAUCCGUGAAGCCCAGCCGCCACGUCUCAUUUGGUCGACCGCUGACCGACCCAUACUUAGGAUUUUUGCUGCGAGUUCGACAUUCGUGCGUUGAGGUGUUGGGAGUAACGUUAGGCUCCCUUACAUUCACAACCAGAUUGUGAAUUGUUGAAGGUUCAGUUCGCCAUUAUAUCGGUGAGUUGAAACUUACGUUGAGGAAAAUAAGUGGGAUAUGUAUCGUGAAAGUAAUUGAAUUUUGUGUUGUUAUGCUUAGGAUUGUUUCGAGGACGUUAGUGAUUAAGGAGCUUCCCUAACUUUGAGGUAAGGGAUUUUCUACUGGACUCAAUUGUGAUUGCAAAGGUAAUAAAGGCGGCAAACCGGCGAGGGGCAGGAAGGAAGCGUGAUGCCAUAGGAAAUAUGUUGUUUGCUUCCGCUUAUGGGUUCUUGUGAGGUUUAAGAUGAAUUGAAAUUUUGCUUACAAACGUUUAUUGUAAAUAGUAUUGUUUUUAUGUUUUCUUGAAUGUUUGAAAUUCAGGCCUGACUUAAAGAUGUUUUUAAAUUAGUUUACGUUUCAUUUUAUAUUAA